GGAAAACAUCAUUACAAACAUAUGCAUAUAUAGAAAAUGCUAUGCAGCUGAAAAAGUUUUAUUAGCUUUUUGAUCUGUGAAUAAAAUAAAUUGCAAGGCACAUCUACCAUUUUGAUUUGUAAAAUCAAGCCUGGAGUUUCUCAAAUGCUAUCCAGCCUUCAACUACUUUAGAUUUCCAUGGGAAAUUUUUGAAACCAUUUUCCAGUUUCUUUUAUUAAUGUUGCCGGUGAUAUUGAUUAAUCAGUGUGACUUAUCUGUGUUCUUCCACAGCUAGCUGGUAUAAAUUUUCCAU
rnacentral:misc_RNA from 1 species